rnacentral:rRNA from 1 species
CGCCGCGGUUAUACGAGAGGCCCAAGUCGACAGAUUUCGGCGUAAAGGGUGGUUAGGAAAAAUAUAAACUAGAGAAAAACGCUCUUCAAGCUGUUAUACGCCCCAAGAGUAAGAAGCCCCCACGCGAAAGCAACUCUAUAAACAAUCUGAACCCACGACAGCUCUGACA